UACGAAGGGGGCUAGCGUUGCUCGGAAUCACUGGGCGUAAAGGGCGCGUAGGCGGCCGAUCAAGUCGGAGGUGAAAGCCCAGGGCUCAACCCUGGAAUGGCCUUCGAUACUGGUUGGCUCGAGACCGGAAGAGGUAAGUGGAACUGCGAGUGUAGAGGUGAAAUUCGUAGAUAUUCGCAAGAACACCAGUGGCGAAGGCGGCUUGCCAGAAUGCGCUCGACGGUGAGGGAUGAAAGCUGGGGGAGCAAACCGG
rnacentral:rRNA from 1 species